UUACGGCCAUAUCACGUUGGAACACCGGCUCUAGUAUGAUCACCGAGGUUAAGCAACGUCGCGCCUGGUCAGUGCCUAGAUAGGUAACCGCUUGGGAAUAGCAGGAGCUGCAAG